AGUCCGAGCUUGAAGGAGACAAAGAUAAAAGUGAAGAGCACGCUGGACAAAGUAAUCCUCAUGAAGAUACUGGGAAAGAAGAUAGGGUUUUUGAUGAAAAUGUGAAUAGCACUUUUGAAGAUUCAUUUCGUCAAGCAAACACCCAAGAUGGAAGUUAUGACGGCGACGAUGAAAAUACUGAAAAGAGUGGCAAUUAUGAUAAUGCAGAAGAAGGAACACCAAGGGAUAAAUCCAAUACUCCAAGUCAUUCUACACCAAAGUUCAAUCUCUUUUCUCAAGAAAGUCAAGGUAGCGGAAAGGAUAAGAAAAACAGUCAACAGAAAGCAGGAAGCAGUAAAAAGAAAGUUGUUAGAGAGAAA